CUGUUGGCAACUUGGCUGUUGCAAGGAAAAGUGGUUGAGGUUCUUAGUCCUCUCACUGGGGAUCUUUGAGUUUCCAUUACCAACUCUUGCCAUACUGAUUUACAGCAUGAGGAUGACACAAUUGUUGGAUUGCUUAUAUUCAAAAAACAGAUUCUGGAAUCAUCAUUCAGGUCAUGCACCUUACCAACAUGCACAAAAAAAGGACAUGCAAGCAUGAGGUCUGUUGAAGUUCUCAAAUCACCACAUGAUUCUAUCUCCAAAGACUCUCCAACGACAUGGAAUGUAUGUGCUGCUGGAAAUAUUUUAUGUUCGAAGGUGGAUGGAAAUGAAAACUAUGCUUUAUUUGGAGGGAGCUUACAUGGAACUCUUCUACCAUGCAUGCUAGGUAAGGGACUGCUUAAUUGAUUAGAGGUGAGUAGCUAUUUUUUUUGGGUGGCAAACCCCUUCCUUAGCCCAGUUUCUACAUUUUGUAAUUCGAGAAGCAGCUCCGAAAACAGGGCUAUCUUGCUUAUGUUCUCUUCUUUUUUUUUCAAGCUAUGUUUUCUUGUUACAAAGGCCACGUUGCUUGUGCUGAAAGUCCUUUUGAAUGUUGUAUACCUUGUUCAAUUAUUACUAAGUAGCUAACUUGUUAUCCACUUCGUUCUCCAUAUCACUACUUCUGAAUGUAAGUAAAUAGCCGCAAGAUUUGUACAUUCAUGCUGGUUUCUCCUUUAUUCAGAAGAUAUGACCAUGAUUUUGAGGUGAAAUUUUACAGAACUUCUUAGACUAUUUGCUACUCCAUAAGUUAUAACUAGCAAUUGCUGACUAUGAACUAUUUCUUGUAGGGUUGUUCAGUUACAACCCCUCAAAGUUGCUAGGAUUGGUCAAGUGUCGUGGCUGCAAUUGCAAUAAUUGGUGUGAGGUCAGUAACUAUUGCUUAGUCUUUUGGUAUGCAUAUGGGAGUAACAAUCCUAUGCUACUGUGUGAUUACUUAAGGCCAUAAGGGGAAACAUGUAUAUCUCUUCUAGGCAUAACCUCAAAUCGAUGGGAACUCGAUAGCGUUGAUGCUUCUCUCUUCUGGCAUAACCUCACUCAACUGUGUUGAAGCUUCUCUCUUCCAUGAAAUGAGCACUUUAAAAGAACAAGUGGAUAUCGUGAUGAGGCAUGCUUGAUUAAAGGUUCGAGACAGUUGCAAUAGCCCCCUAGAUCAAACUUCUCCACAAGCACAUCAAGGAUCAUCGCGAGCAAGUCAUGACAUCGAAUAUUCUGAUCGCGGUAUACGAAUUGAAAUCAUAGCGCCCUUGUAAGUCUACAGUUGUAUCUUUUGCAAGAAAUGACAUCAAAGAUCAUCGACUUGAUGCUAUCUGAUUGGUUAAUUACCCAUUAUCUGCUGUAAGUGUACUUUAAGUGCAUUGGAUAACCUAUUAUCUGUUGAAACUGACUGUAUAUGCUAAAAAUAUGAACCCAAUUGAUGGAAAUGUUGUUUAGAGGCAUAAA